UACGUAGGGGGCAAGCGUUGUCCGGAAUCAUUGGGCGUAAAGCGCGUGUAGGCGGCUCGAUAAGUCCGUUCUGAAAGUCCAGGGCUCAACCCUGGGAUGCGGAUGGAUACUGUCGAGCUCGAGUCCGGAAGAGGCGAGUGGAAUUCCUGGUGUGGCGGUGAAAUGCGCAGAUAUCAGGAGGAACACCAAUGGCGAAGGCAGCUCGCUGGGACGUGACUGACGCUGAGACGCGAAAGCGUGGGGAGCAAACAGG
rnacentral:rRNA from 1 species